CUGAAACAGUUCCCAGUCUGUCUUUUAUGAUUGAGACAGUCUUGUGGGGUACCGGUCAGGUAGUCUGAAUGUGCUUCAGUUUUGGUUGGUCUGAAGUGUCCCUGUGAUGUGUGCAUUUUUGACAGGAGUACCAGAGAGGUGGUGCUGUGUUCUUUUUGCUGCAUCAUGUCAGGAGGCUGACGAUGUUGGUUUUUCUCUUUACAGUGGUGGUGAAGUUUUUUUUAUUAUUAUUAAUAUGAUAUCUGCCUGCCAAGUUUCUCCACUGAAAAAUUUCGACGCUCAAAGCGAGGAGUCACUCCUGCACUCCGCACUGCCUGUGAGCACCUUGCCUUGUCAGAAUAGACAACCCCGGGUAACCAGACGCUGAGAGCAGCCUCCAGCAUUGGAUGUAGGGGUCAAAGACAGCAGAACAGCAACUAGCAAGUACAGACCACACAGGGAGAAGAAAACUUAAAAAUUGAUAAAUAAGGUGGACAGUUGUUACGGUGUAUGGAUAAGCCUGAGGAAACAUUCAAGAGAAGACUGUUCCUAACAUGAAGGGUUUUCUUUCUCUAACUUUAAUCAGCAUUUUGUUAAGGGUCUUCCGAUUCCCAAAGAGUGCACUGCAGAAGAAAAGACAUCAGCUGGAGAAGGAUUUUUCGCUUCCACCCAGCAGGCUUGUCUCUGAUGAGGGCCUCUCUGAAGUAGCCAGCCCCAUAGGCUGGGAAUAGUGGUUGUCUUCUGGUGGGGGUGCUUAAAUGGGAGAAAAACUUUUUACUGAAAACUCUGUUUCCUUUGAACUUUGACAUACCUGUUGAGUAGAUGAAUAAAAUAAAUUUCCUAAAAAAAA